rnacentral:rRNA from 1 species
GAUGAACGCUGGCGGCGUGCCUAAUACAUGCAAGUCGAGCGAACAGACGAGGAGCUUGCUCCUCUGACGUUAGCGGCGGACGGGUGAGUAACACGUGGAUAACCUACCUAUAAGACUGGGAUAACUUCGGGAAACCGGAGCUAAUACCGGAUAAUAUAUUGAACCGCAUGGUUCAAUAGUGAAAGACGGUUUUGCUGUCACUUAUAGAUGGAUCCGCGCCGCAUUAGCUAGUUGGUAAGGUAACGGCUUACCAAGGCAACGAUGCGUAGCCGACCUGAGAGGGUGAUCGGCCACACUGGAACUGAGACACGGUCCAGACUCCUACGGGAGGCAGCAGUAGGGAAUCUUCCGCAAUGGGCGAAAGCUUGACGGAGCAACGCUGCGUGAGUGAUGAAGGUCUUCGGAUCGUAAAACUCUGUUAUUAGGGAAGAACAAAUGUGUAAGUAGCUAUGCACGUCUUGACGGUACCUAAUCAGAAAGCCACGGCUAACUACGUG